AUAUGAAUAAGGACAAUGGAGUUGUGGCAAGCAUACCCUGGCAGGGGCCUCCCACCAUUCAGAGGAGGACAUGUUUAGAAUAUGCUUAUAAGGACACUCAGAUUCCCAUGAUCUUAAUCACUCAGCAGCCUCUCUUCUGAGGUGGGUCAAUCAACUUGCCCUUUCCAGCACAGUGGGUGGCGGGAAAAGAUGGGUCACUGUGACAUCUGGUGUCCAGGCUAGAUCUGAGAAAAUGACAAUCUGUGUCUCUGUCAGUGAGGCAUCCACCACUCAUCUGUUAUUCUGUUGGGAAGGUUCAUUUCAGGGUUCAAGCAGAACUGGUGCUGCCAUGGGAGAUACUUUAAAAAGUAUAUUUUACUGCUUGAGGAAAUGGAUACCUCAUUCUUCAUGAUGUGAUUAUUUCAUAUUGCAUGCCUGUAUCAAAACAUCUCAUAUAUCCCAUAAAUAGAUACACCACAAAAAUUCAAAAUAAAAAUAAAAGUAAGUAUUUUAGGUCUUACAGAUUGCAUAUUGGUGAUUCCAUAUAGUUUGAAAGGGCUUUGGGUAUCCAUAGUGUCAUAUUAAAAUGUGACUCCCCCUAAAAGAGAUUAUAAUGUGAUUGUUAGGUCCUCUUCCUGGGGAGUGGUAGGUGGGUUGCUUCCUGAACAAACAAUUUAGCGAAGCCCCUAGGAUUGUGGUUCCAGUAAUGCGGAGAGAGCCACGGAAUGAGGAGCAGGGGGAGCUACCAAGUGUAGGCCAAGUUCAGGACAGUGUCAGGACCCACUCUGCAGAAUUUUUUUCUUUUUCUAUGACCUUGUACCUCCUCCUGAGGUUUGCUGAUCUGUCUGCUUCUUUCCACAGGGAUUAACUUGCAUAGUUUCCAAGACAAUGAAAAUCAAACCAGGAUACAUGGGAACGGCUGCUUCCUGUUAUGAUGUACAGGUUAUAGAUGAUAAGGGCAACAUCCUGCCCCCUGGCACAGAAGGAGACAUUGGCAUCAGGGUCAAACCCAUCAGGCCUAUAGGCAUCUUCUCUGGCUAUGUGGACAAUCCUGACAAGACAGCAGCCAACAUUCGAGGAGACUUUUGGCUCCUUGGAGACCGGGGAAUCAAAGAUGAAGAUGGGUAUUUCCAGUUUAUGGGACGGGCAGAUGAUAUCAUUAACUCCAGCGGGUACCGGAUUGGACCCUCGGAGGUAGAGAAUGCACUGAUGAAGCACCCUGCUGUGGUUGAGACGGCUGUGAUCAGCAGCCCAGACCCCGUCCGAGGAGAGGUGAUGGGGAAGCAGUAGCCUGGGGGUGAACACAUAUGAACACAAGGGCAGUGUAGUAUGAUGGUUUAAGAACAGGGACUGUGUGGCUGAACACUCUGAAACCCAAUCUUGGCCCUGCCACUUACUAGCUAUGUGACCUUGGGCAAGCUACUUGGCCUCUCUGUUUCUCAGUUUCCUCAUCUGUAAGAUGAGGGAUUGUUAUGAGGGUUAAAUGUGCUAAUAUUUGUAAAGUACUUAAGUAUGGUGAUUUCUCAAAAAAGUAAACAGAACUACCAUAUGAUCCAGCAAUCCCACUACUGGGUAUUUAUCCAAGGGAAAAGAAAUUAACAUAUCAAAAGAUGUCUACACUCCCAUGUUAAUUGCAGCACUAUUCACAAUACGAAGAUAUGGGAUCAACCUAAGUAUCCAAUGGAUGAAAGGAUAAAUAAUAUGUGGUAUAUAUACACAAUGGAAUACUAUUUGGCAUUAAAAAAGAAUGAAAUCAUGUCAUCUGCAGCAACAUGGAGAGAACUGGAGGUCAUUAUGUUAAGUGAAGUAAGCCAGGCACAGAAAGAUAAAUAUCACGUAUUUCCACUCAUGAGUAAGUGCUAAAAUAGCUGAUCUCAUGGAGAUAAAGAGUAGAGUGAUAGAUACCAGAGGCUGGGAAGGGUGUGUGGGUGGGAAAGCGGGGGAUGAAGAGAGGUUGGUGAACGGGUAUAAACAUACAGUUAGAUAGCAGCAAUAAGUUCGAAUGUUCAAUAGCAGAGUAGGGUGACUAUAGUUAACAACCAUGUAUUGUAUAUUUCAAAAUAGCUAGAAGAAAGGACUUGAAAUGUUCUCAACACACACAAAUUAUAAAUACUCAAGGUGAUGGACACCCCAAGUAACCUAACUUGAUAAUUACAAUAUUUGCGCUUAGCAAAAUGUCACUUGUACCCAAUACAUAUGUACAAAUAUUAUGAAAUGAUAAAAACUUUUAGAAAGUAAAGUGCUUGGUUGGGAGGCCGAGGCAGAUGGAUCACGAGGUCGGGAGUCCAAGACCAGCCUGGCCUACUAAAAAUACAAAAAUUGGCCGGGCACGGUGGCAGGCAUCUGUAAUCCCAGCUACUCAAGAGGCUGCAGCAGGAGAAUCACAUGAACCCGGGGGGCGGAGGUUGCAGUGAGCCGAGAUCACGCCUCUGCACUCUAGCCUGGGUGACAGAGUAAGACUCUGUCUC
rnacentral:sRNA from 1 species